rnacentral:rRNA from 1 species
UCUCCCUGGGGAAACGGGUGGUAAUGCCGGAUGCUCCAGUUGAUCGCAUGGUCUUCUGGGAAAGCUUUCGCGGUAUGGGAUGGGGUCGCGUCCUAUCAGCUUGACGGCGGGGUAACGGCCCACCGUGGCUUCGACGGGUAGCCGGCCUGAGAGGGCGACCGGCCACAUUGGGACUGAGAUACGGCCCAGACUCCUACGGGAGGCAGCAGUGGGGAAUAUUGCACAAUGGGCGCAAGCCUGAUGCAGCGACGCCGCGUGAGGGAUGGAGGCCUUCGGGUUGUAAACCUCUUUUAUCGGGGAGCAAGCGAGAGUGAGUUUACCCGUUGAAUAAGCACCGGCUAACUACGUGCCAGCAGCCGCGGUAAUACGUAGGGUGCAAGCGUUAUCCGGAAUUAUUGGGCGUAAAGGGCUCGUAGGCGGUUCGUCGCGUCCGGUGUGAAAGUCCAUCGCUUAACGGUGGAUCCGCGCCGGGUACGGGCGGGCUUGAGUGCGGUAGGGGAGACUGGAAUUCCCGGUGUAACGGUGGAAUGUGUAGAUAUCGAAAAAAAAACACCC